rnacentral:rRNA from 1 species
UACGGAGGGUGCAAGCGUUAUCCGGAUUCACUGGGUUUAAAGGGUGCGUAGGAGGGCAGGUAAGUCAGUGGUGAAAUCUCCAAGCUUAACUUGGAAACUGCCGUUGAUACUAUCUGUCUUGAAUAUUGUGGAGGUGAGCGGAAUAUGUCAUGUAGCGGUGAAAUGCUUAGAUAUGACAUAGAACACCAAUUGCGAAGGCAGCUGGCUACUCAUAUAUUGACACUGAGGCACGAAAGCGUGGGGAUCAAACAGG